rnacentral:rRNA from 1 species
UGCCCAAUGAGGAAUUUAAUGGCCGCAGUAUAUUGACUGUGCAAAGGUAGCAUAAUCAUUAGUUUUUUAAUUGGAAGCUGGUAUGAAAGGUUUGAUGAGAAAUAAGCUGUCUCUUUAUUAGUUUUAGAAUUUGAUUUUUAAGUAAGAAAGCUUAAAUUUAUUAAAAAGACGAGAAGACCCUAUAGAGUUUUAUAAAAUUUUUUGUAUAUAUUUAGGUUUUAAUUUUAUUUUAAAUUUUAUUUUGUUGGGGUGAUAUAAAAAUUAAAUUAACUUUUUAUUAUUUUUACACUAAUUAGUGAUUAUUUGAUCCUURGGAAAGAUUAUAAGAUUAAAUUACCUUAGGGAUAACAGCGUAAUUUUUUUUGAAAGUUCUUAUUGAUAAAAAAGUUUGCGACCUCGAUGUUGGAUUAAAAUUUAUUUUUGGUGUAGUAGCUGAAAUAUUAGGUCUGUUCGACCUUUGAAAUUUUACAUGAUCUGAGUUUAGACCGGCGUGAGCCAGGUUAGUUUCUAUCUUUUAUAUGAGUAAAUGUUUUAGUACGAAAGGACCAUUCAUUUAAAUUAUAUUUUUAUUUUAAUGAAUUUUAUU